rnacentral:tRNA from 1 species
GGAGACGUGGCAGAGCGGCCGAAUGCACUGGUCUUGAAAACCAGCGACGGGCAACCGUCCGCGGGUUCAAAUCCCGCCGUCUCCG